GAAAGGGCGCACGGUGGAUGCCUUGACACUAGGAGUCGAUGAAGGACGGGACUAACGCCGAUAUGCUUCGGGGAGCUGUAAGUAAGCUUUGAUCCGAAGAUUUCCGAAUGGGGAAACCCACCAUACGUAAUGGUAUGGUAUCCUUAUCUGAAUACAUAGGGUAAGGAAGACAGACCCAGGGAACUGAAACAUCUAAGUACCUGGAGGAAGAGAAAGCAAAUGCGAUUUCCUGAGUAGCGGCGAGCGAAACGGAACAUAGCCCAAACCAAGAGGCUUGCCUCUUGGGGUUGUAGGACAUUCUAUACGGAGUUACAAAGGAACGAGGUAGACGAAGCGACCUGGAAAGGUCCGUCGUAGAGGGUAACAACCCCGUAGUCGAAACUUCGUUCUCUCUUGAAUGUAUCCUGAGUACGGCGGAACACGUGAAAUUCCGUCGGAAUCUGGGAGGACCAUCUCCCAAGGCUAAAUACUCCCUAGUGAUCGAUAGUGAACCAGUACCGUGAGGGAAAGGUGAAAAGCACCCCGGAAGGGGAGUGAAAGAGAUCCUGAAACCGUGUGCCUACAAAUAGUCAGAGCCCGUUAACGGGUGAUGGCGUGCCUUUUGUAGAAUGAACCGGCGAGUUACGAUCCCGUGCGAGGUUAAGCUGAAGAGGCGGAGCCGCAGCGAAAGCGAGUCUGAAUAGGGCGUUUAGUACGUGGUCGUAGACCCGAAACCAGGUGAUCUACCCAUGUCCAGGGUGAAGUUCAGGUAACACUGAAUGGAGGCCCGAACCCACGCACGUUGAAAAGUGCGGGGAUGAGGUGUGGGUAGCGGAGAAAUUCCAAUCGAACCUGGAGAUAGCUGGUUCUCCCCGAAAUAGCUUUAGGGCUAGCCUUAAGUGUAAGAGUCUUGGAGGUAGAGCACUGAUUGGACUAGGGGUCCUCAUCGGAUUACCGAAUUCAGUCAAACUCCGAAUGCCAAUGACUUAUCCUUAGGAGUCAGACUGCGAGUGAUAAGAUCCGUAGUCAAAAGGGAAACAGCCCAGACCGCCAGCUAAGGUCCCAAAGUGUGUAUUAAGUGGAAAAGGAUGUGGAGUUGCUUAGACAACUAGGAUGUUGGCUUAGAAGCAGCCACCAUUUAAAGAGUGCGUAAUAGCUCACUAGUCGAGUGACUCUGCGCCGAAAAUGUACCGGGGCUAAAUACACCACCGAAGCUGCGGAUUGAUACCGAAUGGUAUCAGUGGUAGGGGAGCGUUCUAAGGACAGUGAAGUCAGACCGUAAGGACUGGUGGAGUGCUUAGAAGUGAGAAUGCCGGUAUGAGUAGCGAAAGACGGGUGAGAAUCCCGUCCACCGAAUGCCUAAGGUUUCCUGAGGAAGGCUCGUCCGCUCAGGGUUAGUCAGGACCUAAGCCGAGGCCGACAGGCGUAGGCGAUGGACAACAGGUUGAUAUUCCUGUACCACCUCUUUAUCGUUUGAGCAAUGGAGGGACGCAGAAGGAUAGAAGAAGCGUGCGAUUGGUUGUGCACGUCCAAGCAGUUAGGCUGAUAAGUAGGCAAAUCCGCUUAUCAUAAAGGCUGAGCUGUGAUGGGGAAGCUCCUUAUGGAGCGAAGUCUUUGAUUCCCCGCUGCCAAGAAAAGCUUCUAGCGAGAUAAAAGGUGCCUGUACCGCAAACCGACACAGGUAGGCGAGGAGAGAAUCCUAAGGUGUGCGAGAGAACUCUGGUUAAGGAACUCGGCAAAAUGACCCCGUAACUUCGGGAGAAGGGGUGCUUUCUUAACGGAAAGCCGCAGUGAAUAGGCCCAAGCGACUGUUUAGCAAAAACACAGCUCUCUGCGAAGCCGUAAGGCGAAGUAUAGGGGGUGACACCUGCCCGGUGCUGGAAGGUUAAGGAGAGGGGUUAGCGUAAGCGAAGCUCUGAACUGAAGCCCCAGUAAACGGCGGCCGUAACUAUAACGGUCCUAAGGUAGCGAAAUUCCUUGUCGGGUAAGUUCCGACCCGCACGAAAGGUGUAACGAUUUGGGCACUGUCUCAACCAGAGACUCGGUGAAAUUAUAGUACCUGUGAAGAUGCAGGUUACCCGCGACAGGACGGAAAGACCCCGUGGAGCUUUACUGUAGCCUGAUAUUGAAUUUUGGUACAGUUUGUACAGGAUAGGCGGGAGCCAUUGAAACCGGAGCGCUAGCUUCGGUGGAGGCGCUGGUGGGAUACCGCCCUGACUGUAUUGAAAUUCUAACCUACGGGUCUUAUCGACCCGGGAGACAGUGUCAGGUGGGCAGUUUGACUGGGGCGGUCGCCUCCUAAAGUGUAACGGAGGCGCCCAAAGGUUCCCUCAGAAUGGUUGGAAAUCAUUCGUAGAGUGCAAAGGCAUAAGGGAGCUUGACUGCGAGACCUACAAGUCGAGCAGGGACGAAAGUCGGGCUUAGUGAUCCGGUGGUUCCGCAUGGAAGGGCCAUCGCUCAACGGAUAAAAGCUACCCCGGGGAUAACAGGCUUAUCUCCCCCAAGAGUCCACAUCGACGGGGAGGUUUGGCACCUCGAUGUCGGCUCAUCGCAUCCUGGGGCUGUAGUCGGUCCCAAGGGUUGGGCUGUUCGCCCAUUAAAGCGGUACGCGAGCUGGGUUCAGAACGUCGUGAGACAGUUCGGUCCCUAUCCGUCGUGGGCGUAGGAAAUUUGAGAGGAGCUGUCCUUAGUACGAGAGGACCGGGAUGGACGCACCGCUGGUGUACCAGUUGUUCUGCCAAGGGCAUAGCUGGGUAGCUAUGUGCGGAAGGGAUAAGUGCUGAAAGCAUCUAAGCAUGAAGCCCCCCUCAAGAUGAGAUUUCCCAUAGCGUAAGCUAGUAAGAUCCCUGAAAGAUGAUCAGGUUGAUAGGUUCGAGGUGGAAGCAUGGUGACAUGUGGAGCUGACGAAUACUAAUAGAUCGAGGACUUAACC
rnacentral:rRNA from 1 species